UACGUAGGAUCCGAGCGUUAUCCGGAUUUACUGGGCGUAAAGAGUUGCGUAGGUGGCAGAGUAAGUUAGUAGUGAAAUCGUGUGGCUCAACCAUACACCCAUUACUAAAACUGCUCAGCUUGAAGAUGAGAGAGGUCACUGGAAUUCCAAGUGUAGGAGUGAAAUCCGUAGAUAUUUGGAGGAACACCGAUGGCGUAGGCAGGUGACUGGCUCAUUCUUGACGCUAAGGCACGAAAGCGUGGGGAGCAAACGGG
rnacentral:rRNA from 1 species